CCUACGGGUGGCAGCAGUGGGGAAUAUUGGACAAUGGGGGCAACCCUGAUCCAGCCAUGCCGCGUGUGUGAAGAAGGCCCUCGGGUUGUAAAGCACUUUCAGUGAGGAAGAACGCCUGGUGGUUAAUACCCAUCAGGAAAGACAUCACUCACAGAAGAAGCACCGGCUAACUCCGUGCCAGCAGCCGCGGUAAUACGGAGGGUGCGAGCGUUAAUCGGAAUUACUGGGCGUAAAGCGCGCGUAGGUGGCUUGAUAAGCCGGUUGUGAAAGCCCCGGGCUCAACCUGGGAACGGCAUCCGGAACUGUCAAGCUUGAGUGGAGGAGAGGAAGGGAGAAUUCCCGGUGUAGCGGUGAAAUGCGUAGAGAUCGGGAGGAAUACCAGUGGCGAAGGCGGCCUUCUGGACUGACACUGACACUGAGGUGCGAAAGCGUGGGUAGCAAACAGGAUUAGAUACCCGGGUAGUC
rnacentral:rRNA from 1 species